rnacentral:rRNA from 1 species
AUUAACUUGAGUAGUAAUAGUUAUGUUCUUGAAACUCAAAGAAUUUGGCGGUGUUUUAGUCUUUUCAGAGGAACCUGUCCCGUAAUCGAUAAUCCACGUUAGACCUUACUUAUUUUUGUUAUCAGCUUGUAUACCGCCGUCGUCAGAAUGUCCUAAGAAGGUUUUAAUUUUCUUAAAUUUUUAUUGAAAAUGAUGUCAGGUCAAGGUGUAGCUUAUGAAUAAGUGGAGAUGGGUUACAAUAAAUAUAUUUAUAAUGGAUAAAUUUUUGAAAUAAGAUUUUGAAGGUGGAUUUGAUGGUAAUUUAAAUUAAUUAAAUUAAUUUGAUUUUAGCUCUAAAACAUGCACACAUCGCCCGUCGCUCUUA